AGUGAACGCUGGCGGUAGGCCUAACACAUGCAAGUCGAACGGCAGCACAGUAAGAGCUUGCUCUUACGGGUGGCGAGUGGCGGACGGGUGAGGAAUACAUCGGGAUCUACUUUUUCAUCGUGGAUAACGUAGGGAAACUUACGCUAAUACCGCAUACGACCUACGGGUGAAAGCAUGGGAUCUUCUCACCUUGCGCGUUUGAAUGAGCCGAUGUCGGAUUAGCUAGUUGGCGGGGUAAAGGCCGACCAAGGCGACGCUCCGUAGCUGGUCUGAGAGGAUGCUCAGCGACACCGGAACUGAGACACGGUCCAGACUCUUGCGAGAGGGACAAGUGGGGAAUAUUGGACAAUGGGCGCAGGGCUGAUCCAGCCAUACCGCGUGGAUGACGAAGGCCGUGGGGUUGUAAAGGCGAUUAGUUGAGAAAGAAAAGAAGCCGGUUUAUACCCCGAUGAUAUGACGGUACCCAAAGAAUAAGCACCGGCUAACUUCGUG
rnacentral:rRNA from 1 species